rnacentral:rRNA from 1 species
CAGCCGCCGCGGUAAUACGAAGGGUGCAAGCGUUACUCGGAAUUACUGGGCGUAAAGCGCGCGUAGGUGGUUGUUUAAGUCUGCUGUGAAAGCCCUGGGCUCAACCUGGGAAUUGCAGUGGAUACUGGGUCACUAGAGCGUGGUAGAGGAUAGUGGAAUUUCCGGUGUAGCAGUGAAAUGCGUAGAGAUCGGAAGGAACAUCUGUGGCGAAGGCGACUAUCUGGGCCAACACUGACACUGAGGCACGAAAGCGUGGGGAGCAAACAGGAUUAGAUACCCCGGUAGUCCCUGUCUCUUAUAC